AUCCUCACCUGUCAGGGGAGAUACCAUGAGCACAAAGGUGGGUUUUCCUAGAUUGAGGCUCAUCUAUUGCACCCUGGGUGUGCUGACACCCGAUAUUUCCCCAAACAGGGGAGACUCAACUGCAUAAUUUGUGUAUAUGGGGGACUGAGUUUGCACUUUCCCUGA
rnacentral:snRNA from 1 species